rnacentral:rRNA from 1 species
UACGUAGGGUGCGAGCGUUAAUCGGAAUUACUGGGCGUAAAGUGUGCGCAGGCGGCCGCGCAAGUCGAGUGUGAAAUCCCCGAGCUUAACUUGGGAAUUGCGCUCGAAACUACGUGGCUGGAGUGUGGCAGAGGAAGGUGGAAUUCCACGUGUAGCGGUGAAAUGCGUAGAUAUGUGGAGGAACACCGAUGGCGAAGGCAGCCUUCUGGGCCAACACUGACGCUCAUGCACGAAAGCGCGGGGAGCAAACAGG